UGGGGAAUAUUGGACAAUGGGCGAAAGCCUGAUCCAGCAAUGCCGCGUGGAUGAAGAAGGUCUUCGGAUUGUAAAGUCCUUUCGGCGGGGACGAUAAUGACGGUACCCGCAGAAGAAGCCCCGGCUAACUUCGUGCCAGCAGCCGCGGUAAUACGAAGGGGGCUAGCGUUGCUCGGAAUGACUGGGCGUAAAGGGCGCGUAGGCGGUUUGGUUAGUUAGACGUGAAAUUCCCGGGCUCAACCUGGGGACUGCGUUUAAGACAGCCAGACUUGAGUGAGGAAGAGGGUCGUGGAAUUCCCAGUGUAGAGGUGAAAUUCGUAGAUAUUGGGAAGAACACCGGUGGCGAAGGCGGCGACCUGGUCCUUUACUGACGCUGAGGCGCGAAAGCGUGGGGAGCAAACAGG
rnacentral:rRNA from 1 species